CUGGAAACGGCUGCUAAUACCGCAUGAUAACUGAGGUUCAAAGGCGCAAGUCGCCUGGGGAGGAGCCUGCGUACGAUUAGCUAGUUGGUGGGGUAAAGGCCUACCAAGGCUGCGAUCGUUAGCUGGUCUGAGAGGAUGAUCAGCCACAUUGGGACUGAGACACGGCCCAAACUCCUACGGGAGGCAGCAGUGGGGAAUAUUGGACAAUGGGCGAAAGCCUGAUCCAGCAAUGCCGCGUGUGUGAAGAAGGUCUUCGGAUUGUAAAGCACUUUCGACGGGGACGAUGAUGACGGUACCCGUAGAAGAAGCCCCGGCUAACUUCGUGCCAGCAGCCGCGGUAAUACGAAGGGGGCUAGCGUUGCUCGGAAUGACUGGGCGUAAAGGGCGCGUAGGCGGAUUGCACAGUCAGAUGUGAAAUUCCUGGGCUUAACCUGGGGGCUGCAUUUGAUACGUGUGAUCUAGAGUGAGGAAGAGGGUCGUGGAAUUCCCAGUG
rnacentral:rRNA from 1 species